CUACAUCAUUGGGUUUUCAGAUAGUAGCAUUAUAGUUCAGCAGUUCAGAUCAUGAACAAAGAAGCUGAAUAACUUUGGAUCCUAGUUCCAGCUGUAAAAUGUUACACUCAAUGAUUACUCUUUCUUGUAUCUCAUAUGAAUAUAUGAGUGUUUUUCCCGUAAGCUAUGUGGGAAGUGAAUCUCAGCUUCUGCUUCUACCUUCACCACCAUGGCCAUUGUGAGGACCCGCUGUGUUCUACAGUAGAGACAGAAAUUCACACAUCGUCAAGGAGGACAGAGCUGCUUUUGACCGUGGAAAUAAAAUAACAAGGUUAAGUCACCACAAACAGGGGUAAGAGUGACUGAGAAGAGAAAAAUUGUGAGAAGUCUUAUCUAACGAUCUGUUUUCAGUAGAAGUGACAUUUAUUUGCAGAACAUGAGACGGAGGAAGUAUAGGAAUUUAAUCCUGGAAAAGAUGGGCAUUGCGGGCUGGACGGAUGCUGAGGUCCAGGGGCUUGUGAACUGAGCCCUGGGGUGGAGAUGUGCCGGCACCACGGUAGGAAAAGUGUGGGCAGAGGGAGGUGCCGAGCUGUGGCCCAGUCACAAGAAAGGCCCCAGCCACCCACAGGGCUCUGAGCUGGAUGCUUGCGGGUUAGAGCAUCCGGACAGGAGUGAGGGCCCAGGCCUUUAUCCAUCCUCUGACCUGUCACCGAGGUAGGCUGCGUCUGGGACGUGGUGUGACCCCACUGUGGCAGUCUUCUUCGCUAGAGGAUAAUCACCUGUUUGGGAACACAGCCCCAAGCUCCCAGCUGCCUACACUCCAGUUUGGAGAUGCGGUGCGUGCUUAGUCCCGGAGGGGGUGGGAAAGAUCUGGGGGCACACAUGGGAGCACAGCACAAGAACACAGCCCUCCUGAAAUCCAAGUGGAUCUGCAGACACAGGGGAGGACCUGCCUCAGGAGCGCUGUGCACGCGAACCCACUGGAAAGGACCCUAUUUGCCGUGUAUCUAUCAGCUUCCGCCCUGUUUGAGUCCUAGACUUCUCCUAAGGGUGACCUAUAACAAAAGCAAAAUUUUACUUUCAACACUUGUUUACAAAGUGCUGGCACCUGAAUUUGCUAGUUUGUUGUAAAUUAAUUUACCUGUGGCAAGGAGGGAAAGAUUUGAAUAGAAAAAUCACACAUGAGAAUCUUUUUUAAUAGAGGAAUGUGCCAAGAGGAAAACUGGAGCUGGGA